GAAUGAUCUUUGGGAAGAUCAUUCAGGUUGAACCUACAGAAAAGUAAAUAAACACUAUUCUUCCUGGAUAUACUCACAACCUAUACUUUGUCUGUUCCAGAUGCCAGGAUGAAAAGACCCAGCUGCCAAUGGUUGGGGGCAAUCCAGAUGAUACCCGUGGGUUCUUUCCAACACUGUGAUCCUGGGACUGUUAGAAUCUACAAGAGGAAACCUGGUGAACCAGUUCGACUAGAUCCUUUGUUAAGCUAACCAGUUAAGUCCUUCCAUUUGCAUGUCCAAAGAGGUUGCCCUGUUGCCAUAGAGACAAAUGGAUAGGUCUUUUCCCACUUCACCUGGCUGGUCAUCGUAGGCAAGAGAACAAUAAGCCAAGGGACUGCAUUGCUGCUUCACUGUGAUGCCAUCUCUCCUCCCUAGGAGAGUUCAUUCAUUUAUUCAAGAUUUGGCUGUUGGGGCAAAGAAGGAGUAGGAAACUUCCUUUCUAUAAACUUCCUUAAGUACACUUAUUAUAGAACUGAAGCCAGUGUACUUCAGGAAAAUGACCUUUAUCUUAUUGUGCAGGUAAGUUGACUGUGUAGUGCCCUUAAAUGCUCAAAAUGCCCUAUAGGGCUCUCUGAAUGGAUUUGUAUACUUCAGUGUUUCCCAAACUUGAGUCUCUAGCUGUUUUUGGACUACAGUUCCCAUGAUCCCUGACUACUGGUCCUGCUAGCUAGGGAUGAUGGGAGUUGUAGUUCA